rnacentral:tRNA from 1 species
CUACUCUUAGCUCAGUUUGGUAGAGCACACGCUUUGGGGGCGUGGGGUCGUGGGUUCAAGUCCUACAGGGUAGA